rnacentral:lncRNA from 1 species
GAACAAUGAAUGUUCUGACACCUAUAAGUGCUAUUGCUGAAGGUUUCAAGAGUCAUAAUUCCUAAACAUUUAAAACCGUAACCUCUUUUUUGUCAAAAGAAACAAUGUUUUAACAAUUUAAAAGCAAAAAAGAGUCUUCCAUUGAUUAAGCCGUGUUUUUGGUUUCUUUAGACAAAACAAAAUGAAGUUAAAAUAGAAAACACAUAUAGAAUUACAUUAAUUUGGAUUAUCACCAACUAAAUCAGCUUCACAUAUAUCUACAUGUAUUUUAUGAAUCUUCAAAUAGUCUUAUAAUAAACAAGAUAAUUGCAAAUAGAAGAAUUAUGGUUGCCUUUCUGUUGAUAUAUACAAUGCAAUUUCCAAUAGGAACUCCUUGUACAGCUAAAAUGGGCUACUUUCACAACUAAAUUUCGCCAAAAAAUAUUUUUUAGAAUGAAAAUUUCAUAUGCACAACUAUUUUAUUCAAAAUUCUAUAGGGUUGUUCUUCAUAUUUUCAACAUGUGUAUGCCUUGAACUUCUACGAGUUCAAACUUAUACUUUUACUAUGUUGUACCUUCCCCCUCAGUAAGGGUCUUUUUCAAUAUUUAAUUUAGCAGCUAUCCAUGUGUAUUUAUACUGGUAAGCUACUAACAUUCCCAAGUUAUGUCUCAACGGAAACAAGUAGGUAAACAAAACAAAAGAUCUCCCUUAAAAAAGGUUGUUUUGUGAAACAACUGUAUCAACAACGCGUCAUUCAGAGGUUAUCACUCAAUAUUUAACACAAUUGCUUUCGUGUCAGGAUUGACAUGUGUUGUAGUUAUUUAAACAAGUUAGUUUACAAUAAUCAACUUAUCGUUUAGUCUUCAAAACAUCAAUGGCCUCAUCGAUAAUAAAAAGAGAUAUACUAUGAUAAAGAGUAGAGCCAGAAUGGAACAUGCAGAAUUAGAAAUUUUUGUUCUCGUCAUAAUGGUUUGAGACCGUGUGGGAUGAAUUAAGACAAUAUAAUGACUUUGUACUAAUUUGUUAGCAUUAUAAACAUUAUAAAUAAGCAUAACAUGAAAGUAUUUUUAUUUCAUAAUUCAAUGAAUAUAUUAGAUAAAAUUGGAGUAUUUGUAAUUUUUCUUAAACUGCA